UUUAUCGGAGAGUUUGAUCCUGGCUCAGGACGAACGCUGGCGGCGUGCCUAAUACAUGCAAGUCGAGCGGAC
rnacentral:rRNA from 2 species